rnacentral:lncRNA from 1 species
UGAUGAAACUGGGACAAACAAGAUUAGGUGACUGGCCCAGGAUCAUAUAGCUGGUAAAUCUACUGUGAAUGUUAUGAGCCAAGCCCAGAUCACCGACUUCAAACAGAAUCACGGCUACCUGUAGAGAGUUCUGCUGGCAGACAGGCUUUUACUAAAGCCAACAGAGCAGAGGACCUUCUUCUUCUGUUGAAUCAGCAGCAAAAAGUUGGAGGAGGAUUUGUCUCACUUCUAAUAGUGAGUAUUGCUGUAUAGGG